rnacentral:rRNA from 1 species
UAAUACGUAGGGGGCGAGCGUUGUCCGGAAUUACUGGGCGUAAAGGGUGCGUAGGCGGCACCGUAAGUUGGAUGUGAAAUGCCUGGGCUCAACCCAGGACUUGCAUCCAAGACUGCGGAGCUAGAGUACAGGAGAGGGAAGCGGAAUUCCUAGUGUAGCGGUGAAAUGCGUAGAUAUUAGGAGGAACACCGGUGGCGAAGGCGGCUUUCUGGACUGACACUGACGCUGAAGCACGAAAGCGUGGGGAGCAAACAGG